rnacentral:rRNA from 1 species
GACGAACGCUGGCGGCGUGCCUAAUACAUGCAAGUAGAACGCACAGUUUAUACCGUAGCUUGCUACACCAUAGACUGUGAGUUGCGAACGGGUGAGUAACGCGUAGGUAACCUGCCUGGUAGCGGGGGAUAACUAUUGGAAACGAUAGCUAAUACCGCAUAAUAUUAAUUAUUGCAUGAUAAUUAAUUGAAAGGUGCAAUUGCACCACUACCAGAUGGACCUGCGUUGUAUUAGCUAGUAGGUGAGGUAACGGCUCACCUAGGCGACGAUACAUAGCCGACCUGAGAGGGUGAUCUGCCACACUGGGACUGAGACACGGCCCAGACUCCUACGGGAGGCAGCAGUAGGGAAUCUUCGGCAAUGGACGAAAGUCUGACCGAGCAACGCCGCGUGAGUGAAGAAGGUUUUCGGAUCGUAAAGCUCUGUUGUAAGAGAAGAACGGGUGUGAGAGUGGAAAGUUCACACUGUGACGGUAUCUUACCAGAAAGGGACGGCUAACUACGUG